CAGCAGCCCGGUAAUACGGAGGGAGCUAGCGUUGUUCGGAAUUACUGGGCGUAAAGCGCGCGUAGGCGGUUACUCAAGUCAGAGGUGAAAGCCCGGGGCUCAACCCCGGAACUGCCUUUGAAACUAGGUGACUAGAAUCUUGGAGAGGUCAGUGGAAUUCCGAGUGUAGAGGUGAAAUUCGUAGAUAUUCGGAAGAACACCAGUGGCGAAGGCGACUGACUGGACAAGUAUUGACGCUGAGGUGCGAAAGCGUGGGGAGCAAACAGGAUUAGAUACCCCUGUAGUCCCUGUCUCUUAUACA
rnacentral:rRNA from 1 species